rnacentral:rRNA from 1 species
GACGAAGGUGGCAAGCGUUAUUCGGAUUUACUGGGCCUAAAGCGCGCGUAGGCGGCUUGGCAAGUCGGGGGUGAAAGCCCGCAGCUCAACUGCGGAACUGCCUUCGAUACUGCCGGGCUUGAGGGCGGGAGGGGUGAUUGGAACACCAGGUGUAGCGGUGAAAUGCGUAGAUAUCUGGAGGAACACCGGAGGCGAAGGCGAAUCACUGGACCGCUUCUGACGCUGAGGCGCGAAAGCGUGGGGAGCAAACAGG